AACGAGCGCUGGCGGCAUGCCUAACACAUGCCAGUCGAACGAUUGCCUUCGGGUGAUAGUGGCGCACGGGUGCGUAACGCGUGGGAAUCUGCCCUUAGGUUCGGAAUAACAGCUGGAAACGGCUGCUAAUACCGGAUGAUAUCGCGAGAUCAAAGAUUUAUCGCCUGAGGAUGAGCCCGCGUUGGAUUAGGUAGUUGGUGGGGUAAAGGCCUACCAAGCCGACGAUCCAUAGCUGGUCUGAGAGGAUGAUCAGCCACACUGGGACUGAGACACGGCCCAGACUCCUACGGGAGGCAGCAGUGGGGAAUAUUGGACAAUGGGCGCAAGCCUGAUCCAGCAAUGCCGCGUGAGUGAUGAAGGCCCUAGGGUUGUAAAGCUCUUUUACCCGGGAAGAUAAUGACUGUACCGGGAGAAUAAGCCCCGGCUAACUCCGUG
rnacentral:rRNA from 1 species